UGGCACCAGGAAAUUAAUUACAGCAGCAGCAGCCCAGGCAGGGCAGAUGGAUUGUGAUUGUCAUGAGGGGAUGCACCAAGACCCACUGAGAGCUCAGGUUCUUUUCAAUCUCAGAAGAUUUCUAAGCAAGUCCAGGUAUUCAGUGAAAUCAGCAUCAAGAAUUCUAAGAAAAUAGACCUGAUGCUUCCAGUUGUUCAGGAGAAGAAACACUUGCUAACGGAUGUGACAUGUUUUUGAACCAUUUUCCAAGGUAAUGGAAAAAGUUAAGCAUAUUCCCUAG